AGACAACUGGUAUAUUGCAAAGAUCCCACUUACUCGUUACGCACCUACAUGGAGAGGGAACAUAAUAAAUGCAAGGAUGGAGAUGAAUCCAGCUCGAAUCGUUGGUAUGUCUUUAUCUGUCAACGCAGAAGGUGGAGUUCCAGAUGCGAAAUCUGGGCCUGGUGAUUUUGGAGUUGAAGUUGAUUGGAUCAAAGCCUUGCGGAUGAUGCAGUAAACCAAAGUGGAACAUUAUCAAGACCAGGACCUUUGGGGCAUCCAUGCUUAUUGGUUGGGCAAGAUUGCAGAAAUGCUAGCUACGGAGUUGGUAUCUUUGAAGUCAUCAAACGGAGAUCGGAGAUGUAGGAGAUACAGGUUCGUUUUCUAUGUACC
rnacentral:misc_RNA from 1 species